GUCAACACCUCUGGGCAUGUACACACACCAGUUCCUCUUAAAAACACAAGGAACAACUUGGGCAUUUGGUUGAGAUUUCAGAAACUCCUCUGCAAAGGGAGAAACCAAUGCAGAGAUAGGUGCUGUGCUGGGGGCUGCCCGCCCUUGCUCUUACGGACAAUCUAUGAGGCAAUUCUCUGUCAAGGAGGCCACAGGAUUUGCCAGGGACCCAAGAGGGACUUGGCUACUGUAACCACAGAGACAAGCAAUGAAAAAAAUUGGGGAAGAGAGUUUGCACCUCAAAGCUACUAUUGGAGAGAGGCUUCAUUAUGUGUGUGCUUUCCUGUGGGCCUGGCAGGAAAACAGAGACCAAAAGAAAGGAAAAUAAAAAAACCUCUAACCCUGAUGCUGGAAACAUCUGGAUUUUUAUAUGCGUUUAGCAUCUCAGGAGAGUUUGUUUUUGUUUGUCCUCCUUGCCAAUAAAGUCAAUGCUUUUCACUGAAAUAUAUGGGAACCGGAAAUAUAUAUUAAAGAGAAGUAUUCCUGGUUAAAAUCAUGCUUGGGUAAUUAAUGGCAGUGUGGUUGUGAUGAGAAGCAGUGAGAUGAUAACCUCCGUGAGCAAUAUCGUGCUAUCUCUCAGCCUCUGCAGAGUUAGCUG
rnacentral:lncRNA from 1 species